UUCUCAGUCGCCUGCACUGGGUCCUUCAUUCCUCCUGAAGGACUUUUCUGGUUGCCUGUCCACGUGGAGAUGAGUAAGUGAAAGCGAGUGUCAUCAUGCGCUCUUAAAGCGGUAAAGACGGCUUCAUUGUGUAGCAUGUGGCAUUACAUUGAAAGCAGCAGGAAAUGGCUGGUGCACCGUGUCACGUGUUGACCCCAUGAGGUGUGAAUCUACAUUUUGUGAGCAGGGUCAGGGUUACAUGACACCUGGUAUGCAGCUAUGAACAUUUUCAAUUCUCUUAAGUGUUUAAAAAGAAGUUUUAGUACAGCUAGAGUG